rnacentral:rRNA from 1 species
UACGUAGGGGGCAAGCGUUGUCCGGAUUUACUGGGCGUAAAGAGCGUGUAGGCGGCCAAGCAGGUCCGUUGUGAAAACUGGAGGCUUAACCUCCAGACGUCGACGGAAACCGCGUGGCUAGAGUCCGGAAGAGGAGAGUGGAAUUCCUGGUGUAGCGGUGAAAUGCGCAGAUAUCAGGAAGAACACCAAUGGCGAAGGCAGCUCUCUGGGCCUUGCCUGACGCUGAGGCGCGAAAGCUAGGGGAGCGAACAGG